GAGGGNGGAAUGUGUAGUGUAGCGGUGAAAUGCUUAGAUAUUACRCAGAACACCGAUUGCGAAGGCAGCUCUCUAAUCUACAUCUGACGCUCAGGCACGAARGCGUGGGGAUCAAACAGGAUUAGAUACCCUGGUAGUCCACGCNGUAAACGAUGAUAACUCGUUGUCGGG
rnacentral:rRNA from 1 species